rnacentral:rRNA from 1 species
GAGUGGUUAAGUUAAGUGCCUGGGGAGUACGGUCGCAAGGCUGAGACUUAAAGGAAUUGGCGGGGGAGCACUGCAACGGGAGGAGCGGGCGGUUUAAUUGGAUUCAACGCCGGAAAACUCACCAGGGCCGACUGUUAUAUGAAGACCAGCGUAAUGAGCUUGUCGGAUUUUCAGAGAGGUGGUGCAUGGCCGUCGUCAGUUCGUACUGUAAAGCGUUCUGUUAAGUCAGAUAACGAACGAGACCCUCAUCUCUAUUUGCUACCCGUCUCUCCGGAGGCGGCGCACUAUAGGGAGACCGCUGGUGUUAAACCAGAGGAAGGCGAGGGCAACGACAGGUCAGUAUGCCCCGAAUGUCCUGGGCUACACGCGCGCUACAAAGGACGGGACAAUGGGAAGCCAGGCCGAGAGGCCGAGCUACCCCGAAACCCGUUCAUAGUUCGGAUCGUGGGCUGUAACUCGCCCACGUGAAGCUGGAUUCCGUAGUAAUCGUGUUUCAAUAUAGCACGGUGAAUAUGCCCCUGCUCCUUGCACACACCGCCCGUCAAACCAUCUU